rnacentral:rRNA from 1 species
AGGGCUUGCCCUGGCGGAUCAGUGGCGAACGGGUGAGUAACACGUGAGCAACCUGCCCCCGACUCUGGGAUAACUCCGGGAAACCGGUGCUAAUACCGGAUAUGACACUGCCGGGCAUCUGGUGGUGUGGAAAGUUUUUCGGUUGGGGAUGGGCUCGCGGCCUAUCAGCUUGUUGGUGGGGUAAUGGCCUACCAAGGCGACGACGGGUAGCCGGCCUGAGAGGGCGACCGGCCACACUGGGACUGAGACACGGCCCAGACUCCUACGGGAGGCAGCAGUGGGGAAUAUUGACACAAUGGGCGAAAGCCUGAUGCAGCGACCCCGCGUGAGGGAUGAAGGCCUUCGGGUUGUAAACCUCUUUCAGCAGGGAAGAAGCGAGAGUGACGGUACCUGCAGAGGAAGCGCCGGCUAACUACGUGCCAGCAGCCGCGGUAAUACGUAGGGCGCAAGCGUUGUCCGGAUUUAUUGGGCGUAAAGAGCUCGUAGGCGGUUUGUCGCGUCUGCUGUGAAAACCUGGGGCUUAACUCCGGGCCUGCAGUGGGUACGGGCAGACUAGAGUGCGGUAGGGGAGACUGGAAUUCCUGGUGUAGCGGUGAAAUGCGCAGAUAUCAGGAGGAACACCGGUGGCGAAGGCGGGUCUCUGGGCCGUAACUGACGCUGGGAAGCGAAAGCGUGGGUAGCGAACAGGAUUAGAUACCCUGGUAGUCCACGCCGUAAACGUUGGGCGCUAGGUGUGGGGCUCAUUCCACGAGUUCCGUGCCGCAGCAAACGCAUUAAGCGCCCCGCCUGGGGAGUACGGCCGCAAGGCUAAAACUCAAAGGAAUUGACGGGGCCCCGCACAAGCGGCGGAGCAUGCGGAUUAAUUCGAUGCAACGCGAAGAACCUUACCAAGGCUUGACAUACAGGGAAAUCUCGCAGAGAUGCGAGGUCCGCAAGGGUCCUGUACAGGUGGUGCAUGGUUGUCGUCAGCUCGUGUCGUGAGAUGUUGGGUUAAGUCCCGCAACGAGCGCAACCCUCGUCCUAUGUUGCCAGCGGGUCAUGCCGGGGACUCAUAGGAGACUGCCGGGGUCUAUUCGGAGGAAGGUGGGGA